rnacentral:rRNA from 1 species
UCAUUAAAUAAUUUGAGUAUGCUUCUCAGCAUAUUUCUAAUUUACUGUGAACUGUUUUACUGUUUAGCGUUUUGAGGGAUUGCCUAAAGAUUAUAGGGAUAGGUCUUUAGGAUGUUAACCUAGCUAAAGUCAGGCUUAGGCCUGGUAUCCUAAUUCAUUAUUUACCAAAAGAAUUCAGAAUUAAUAUUGUAACAUAAGCGUAAAAAACUUAUAAAACAACUUUUAACAACGGAUCUCUUGGUUCUCGCAUCGAUGAAGAACGUAGCAAAGUGCGAUAACUAGUGUGAAUUGCAUAUUCAGUGAAUCAUCGAGUCUUUGAACGCAUCUUGCGCUCAAUGGUAUUCCAUUGAGCACGCCUGUUUCAGUAUCAACAACAACCCACAUCCACAAUUUUGUUGUGAAUGGAAGUGAGAGUAUCGACGUUAAAAUUGAACUCUUUAAAACUAUUAGGCCUGAACUAUUGUUCUAUUAGCCUGAACAUUUUUUUAAUAUAAAGGAAUGCUCUAGUUAAAAGACUAUCUUGGGGGCCUCCCAAAUAAAUCAUUUUUUUAAACUUGAUCUGAAAUCAGGUGGGAUUACCCGCUGAACUUAAGCAUAUAAA